rnacentral:lncRNA from 12 species
AAAAAGUUGAGCUAAGGUUUAUUCAGGCUCCGAAAUCUUCUGAACCUUGCUGUUCAGGACAGAUUUAUCCUAUCUUGCUCUCUACAAAGAAAAGUGAUAUUGUCUUCCACCUCUGUCAUCCUGAUGUGAAAACAAACAAGCCUAUGAACUCUGAACUGACAAAG